GUGUAUGUGUGUUAGCUGGGGUAGCCAACCAAGUGAGAACCAGAGAACUGCACUUAGCAGACUCAACGGCUGGUGUGCUGGGAUAUCAACUGUGGCCUAAUUGGUGCUGCUGGUCUACCGCUGUCUGCAUAGGUAUUAGGUGUGAAGUACAUAGUGUGCAUUUUCAAAUGCAGCACAAACUGGGUGAUGGUUAUCUGACGUAAACCAGGAUAGCACUCACAAUGCAUUCAUAAAGUCUUCAGAUCCUGUCACUUUUUCACAUUUUAUGUGAGGCCUUGUGCUAAAAGGGUAAAGGGUAGACAGGUGACCAAGAAUCCAAUGGCCACUCCAGCCAAGCUCCAAAGGUCCUGAGUGCAGAUUGAAGAAACUUCCAGAAGGUUGGCCAUCACUGCAGCAUUCUACCAGUCUGGGCUCACCCUCACGAAAACCAGGAAAUCUUUUUACAAGGCUGCCUUUGCUUCACAAAUCCUGUCUGGAACAGUCAACAUGUCAGACACAGGAGUGCUAACAGAGCAUUUCAGACAGAAGGUGAAGAGAAAUGUAGAGUACGAGAAAAGUGUGUUUUUGAACAUUGAAGCAUGUAAAUUUAAUCUAAUUCUAAUAAACCCCUUAGUAUAA